rnacentral:rRNA from 1 species
UACGGGGGGGGCAAGCGUUGUUCGGAAUUACUGGGCGUAAAGGGCUCGUAGGUGGCCAACUAAGUCAGACGUGAAAUCCCUCGGCUUAACCGGGGAACUGCGUCUGAUACUGGAUGGCUUGAGUUUGGGAGAGGGACGCGGAAUUCCAGGUGUAGCGGUGAAAUGCGUAGAUAUCGGGAGGAACACCAGUGGCGAAGGCGACUACCUGGCCCAUUCUUGACGCUGAGGCGCGAAAGCUAGGGGAGCGAACGGG